UACGAAGGGGGCUAGCGUUGUUCGGAAUCACUGGGCGUAAAGGGCGCGUAGGCGGCUUUAUAAGUCGGGGGUGAAAGCCUGUGGCUCAACCACAGAAUUGCCUUCGAUACUGUAGAGCUUGAGACCGGAAGAGGUAAGUGGAACUGCGAGUGUAGAGGUGAAAUUCGUAGAUAUUCGCAAGAACUCCAGUGGCGAAGGCGGCUCACUGGCCCGGUACUGACGCUGAGGUGCGAAAGCGUGGGGAGCAAACAGG
rnacentral:rRNA from 1 species